rnacentral:rRNA from 1 species
AUGCAGAUAGAUACACAAAUCUGGAUAGAAUACCAAAGCAGGAUACAAGUUCUGGUUUUUCCUAAGAUAGCAGGGCACACCAUUUGGCACAUUGAAUGGGUCAUGCCUUUGCUAGGCCUCCUUGUGCUCUCUCCAUCCAUCAACCUGUCACAACCACCACCUUUUAUUGUAAAAAGAAAAAGUAUCAGUAGAUGUUAUUUGAUUAUGCACAUGACAUGCAUUUUAUCAUUAGAAAAUCAUACACUGCUGUUUGUUAUGAUUGUGUUACUUUUAUCAUACGUGAAGCUCUUCUUGAUAAUACAUUGUCAUGUAUUUUGUUGCAGGCACAAGUCUGACCUUCUGUGA